rnacentral:lncRNA from 1 species
AGUAAUCAAGAUGGCAAAUCAAGUUCUUCAACAAGAUCAGCGAGAUUAGGUUUUUCAAGAUUUUCCCGGUAACCCUAGUUUUGAUGUAUUCUUCUUUUGAAUCUACCUUUCUCUCUUCGAUAAUGAGUAGCUAAACUUCUCGUGCUUAUAUUAGAUGAACCAUAGGUUUAUCCUUUUGAACAAAUGAUUUGAUUACAUUUGAUGAUUUAUGCAAGUUGGAUGAAUUUCAGUUUAUGUUUGAUUUCGACAUCGUUUUCGUUCUUGCCUUAUCAACUUGAAUGGAUCUUUGUUAGGUUUUCUUAGACUUGAGAGAGCUUGCAUAUCUAAAAC